GCAGCAGGAAGCACCAACAUUUUCAUGGACUUGUAGAGUUCAGUGAGAAUGUUUAUUAAGGGACACCGCCUGUCCUGUCCUGAUCCCGAGACACUGAAGACUGUGUUUGAAUCAGACUCAUGGGUUUCUUCCUAGCCACGGUCAGGGACAGGAAUGCUUCUGAGGAAGAACACCAAGUAAAGAAAGAGAAAAAGAAAAGAAAAGAGUCUAAAGGAAAGAAAAGUUUCCCAAAGAAAGAGCACAAAAUUGAAGCUGUUUAGGUUUGGGGCUGCCACCUGUGACGUCACAGCCACAGAUACGUACCACUAAGGAGACAGAGAAAGUGACCCACUUCCUCACAAGAGGAAAAGAAGAUCAAGGAAGGUAAAAGAUGCAUUUACUGAUCAGACACGAUGGUGACGACCAUUAAUGAAAGGAAUACUGGGGAGAAGACUUCAUAACAUUUUCAUGACUCGGUUUUAUUAAAAAAGUAUAUUUAUUAUGCUUUUUAAGAGCAAUAUGCCAUGCUAGGUGAAAUGGACUAUACAGAGGAAUAUGGCCAAAGUGGUAACAAUAUUAAGAUGGUACAAAGUGCAAAAAGAGCCCAAAUUACAUGUGUUAUGAUUUGCUGAGAGGAAAAAAAAAUGCAUUUUAAUCAUCUUGUUUAAACUUGAGAUGCAUAUGGUGAUGUAUAUGACUUGUUUUAACACAUGAUGAUGCAAACUAUAAAAAGUGUAUUACUGCUUGUGUAAUUGAAUAAACAUGAAAUAGAACACUAAA